UUGAAGAGGAAGUGCUACUUGG
rnacentral:siRNA from 1 species